UGCACUUUUAUGGUAUUAUUUUGUUGAUUUAUUUAUUGUCUAUCUCCUCACCUGCAUAUAAACUCCCUGAUGAUCUUGUAUGUCUUACUAAUCUGUGCUUAAUUAUAAAACCUUUUUUUUCUUUAAAGUGGGCCACUAUCCCUCAGUAUUGAAGAUGAUUGACUAGAGUAGCACAAGGACAAUGCUUAGCACCACACCAGACUCAUAAUAGAUGCUCAAUAAAUGGUAAUUUCAUCCUCUGUUCUCACCUCCACCUUACCCUUCCCCACCACACAAAAAGUUAAUAAAAGUACUGUUGCAUAAAGAGCAUCUCAAGGUCAGUAGAAACUUGACCUGAGGCUUGCAAGUGUAAUUAUAAGCCACAAACCCCAGACUGAAUUAACAUAAGAAAAGGUUUCUUUAAUGAGUGGUUGGUGAAAUUAUAAGUGACUGGAGGCUAAACAAUGAUCCUGACCAGAUUAUGCACAGAAAAUGAUGCCACAUCUAAAGAGAUGCUAUACUUUUUUAUUCGUGGCUGUAAAGUGUCUUAUGCUAGAAAGGGAAAAUAUGCAUACGUUAAACAUGACAGGUUCUCAACAGAUGCAGGUCAAGGAUCUAAUUUGAAUUGCCUUGUUCCCACCCUCUACGAUUUCCCUCUAAGAUUCUAUCUGUCUCCUCUGAGUUUUUAAAUUUUCUACUAAAAGCCAAAUAUUCUUGCACUAUAGCAAACUGCUAUCUGGAUUUGCCUCUCUGUGGCUAUAUUCACCAGGGAUUCUUACUGGCCUUACUGUAAGAAGCUCUCCCCAGGUACCUCUAUAUGGGAGUUUAUAGGAUGGCCAGUCUGUUUAUUGGAGAAGUUCCUAAGGCGAUUGGGUAUUUCUGAGUCAGCUUCAUUCUUACAUCACCUGCUUUGGCAGUGUUUUCUUGGCUCUUCUGAAAAGGAAAAGCAACAACGGCUGGUAAGUGGUUCCCUGAUCCCACCCUGUGAGUCAGAGUCAAACAUUUGUAGGCUUAACUAGAAAGGCAGGACCUUGCUUCUGUGUAUUGAGCAGUUCUAUGAAGGAAUCCAAAUAGCCACAGCUCUCCACAUCUCAUGUAUACCUCAUUCUGUUUCUCAUUCACCCACUCAGCUUCUCAACCCAGGGUUCCUUAUGUACUCACCUGUAAGAUGCCUUUCAACAAACUGUUGUUGUUGUCCAUGAGACUCAAUCCUGUGGAGUAAUGUGUGCUUUUCAAAUGCAAAAGCAGGAAAUGAAAUUGUGUAUGAGGAAUCAUUUCAUCUGUGUAAAAAAAAAAACACCCCAGGGUUAAAAAUCAGAUUGCCCAGUCAAAAAUUGUAGUCAGCUAACUCCUGCUCCAAAUAUUGAAGAUGCUGACUAAAAUUAACAUAAUUUACUUUCAAAUAAAUAGCCAAUUUCAAGGAAAGAAAUGGAAAUUCCUGGGUGACAGAAACAAAUUCAGAGUUCAUCCUGAAGGUAAGUGGAUGUUGAAGUCACAGUGGCCCCUAAGACACCAGGCUUGCAAACAGAUGAGCCUUUGGGGAUAGGGUUAGAAUGCCCCCAGGGAGAUAGGAGACAACCUCUGGGCCUUUCAAGGUGGAAACUGAAACAAUCCCCUGGCACUUGAAAGGGCUGUUGCUAGAAAGAAAGGAUUGGAAGAAAACAAAAUAUUAAUUGUAGUUGCCUUGGGGUUGAGGUUAAGAUAGAUGUCACAGAAAAACAGUAGGAGAAAGGAGUCCUGAGCUCUUAGGGAAGGGAAAAUAGUCAGGGAGUCCUUCCCAGAGUGGGGGCUGCUGGAGCUGGCUAAGAAGAGGCCCACCCUUAGCAAUUCAACCUGCCAGGGCCAGCACCUGAGAUUUGAACCCAUUUCGCCGGGCUUAGUUCUGCUUCCUGGAAUGCUUUUGCAUACCUGUGCUGCCAGGAAUCCUGUUCAGGUUUCUAGCCAGCCAAUGCAGAUAAACUUUUUUCUUUCUCUUGCUUUUGCUCUGUGGUCCUUUGAACAAAAAUGUUUAUCCUCACAGAAAUUUCUAGGUCAGCAGAUCUAGGUUCAACUGAUCUAAACUAGGCUCAGCCAAGCAGCUCUACUUCAGGUUGAGGAUUGGCUGGGCUGAGCAACUAUGUUGAUUGGAUUCAGGUUUGUUCCAUGUGGGGGCGGCUCCUUCUGAGUCCCAUGCUGAAGUUGCAGCAGCUACCCAAGGCAUGAUCUUUUUUCUUUUUUAAUCCUCACCAAGGUUGAGAACCACUGGAAGGCAUGCUCUUGUGGAUUGCUGGAGUACAAGAGGCCAAAUGAAAUAACGUGGGCAAAAAAAAUUUUGGAGGAAUAAAUUUGGGUAUUUUCCAAAAUUGACAGACACCAUACCAUAGAUCCAAGAAACUCAACACCAAGCAGAAUAAAUUUAUACACAAAAGGCAUAUCAUGUUCAAAAUGCUUACACAGAAAAUCUUAACAGGCAACCCAGGGAAUAAAGUGGCACAUACAGAGGAUACUUAAGAAUUACCAGACACCAUUCAAGCUAGAAGACGAUGGAAUGGCUUUAAUGCUGAGAGAAAAAAACAAACCCAGAAUCCUAUGCGCAGUACAAAUAACUUUCAAAAAAGGAAAAAUAAAGCCUUUCUCAGAUAAAAACAGGAAAUAGAUUGCCAGAAGACCUAUAAGAAAUACUAAA